rnacentral:rRNA from 1 species
AAUCAAGUGCCUUAAGGGUGUUCGGUGGAUGCCUUGGCGCUGAGAGGCGAUGAAGGACGUGCUACGCUGCGAUAAGCCGUGGGGAGCUGCGAAGAAGCUUUGAUCCAUGGAUUUCCGAAUGGGGAAACCCACCUUCGAUAGCCGGAACUCCAAGACCUUUGUCGAAAGACAUUGGUGUGGGGUUCGAUCAGAAAUGAGAGAUGCCUAGGCCUUUAGAUUUCGAUCGAAGAGGUUUUGGAUUUCCGGUUAUCAAGAGAAGGUAUGAGACUUCUGAAUACAUAGGAGGUUUCAAGCAAACCCAGGGAACUGAAACAUCUAAGUACCUGGAGGAAAGGACAUCAACAGAGACUCCGUUAGUAGUGGCGAGCGAACGCGGACCAGGCC